GGAUGUGAGGGCGAUCUGGCUGUGACAUCUGUCACCCUAUUGAUUGCCAGGGUUGAUUCGGCUGAUCUGGCUGGAUAGGUGGGUGUCCCCUUCCUCCCUCAACGCUCCACAUGCAUCCCUCCCGAAGCUGUACUCUCUGUCAAAGAGGAUGACCUUCCGAUAGAGGAGGACCAGUCUUCAGUCCCCUGCUAGAACCUCCAAACAAACUCUCAACAGAGUAUAUUUUUGUAAAAAGAAAAGUUUUAUAAAGUAGAGAAGUUUAUAAGAAAGACAAAUUAAUAAAAACAGAUAU
rnacentral:snRNA from 1 species